rnacentral:rRNA from 1 species
CGGCAACAGCUCAAAUUUGAAAUCUGGCCUCUUUUGGGGUCCGAGUUGUAAUUUGUAGAGGAUGUUUUGGGUACCGCACUGGUUUAAAUUUCUUGGAACAGAAUGUCAGAGAGGGUGAGAAUCCCGUAUGUGACUGGGUGCCUUCGCCUAUGUGAAGCUCUUUCGAC